UACAGAGGGUGCAAGCGUUAAUCGGAAUUACUGGGCGUAAAGGGUGUGUAGGUGGUUAUAUAAGUUAGAUGUGAAAUCCCCGGGCUCAACCCGGGAACUGCGUCUGAGACUGGAAGGCUCGAAUCCGGGAGAGGGAUGUGGAAUUCCAGGUGUAGCGGUGAAAUGCGUAGAUAUCUGGAGGAACACCAGCGGCGAAGGCGGCAUCCUGGACUGGUCCUGACACUCAGGAGCGAAAGCGUGGGGAGCGAUCCGG
rnacentral:rRNA from 1 species